CUUCCUUAUUGUACUUUCUUCUUUCAGAAUACAUAGAAUAUUAUACUACUAGCCCUGUCCAUCGGUUACCAGGAAACACUUCCUUAACAAGAGGAGGAGCUGGCCGCUGCCGCCCCUUCAAGGGAUAACCUGGCCUAAAUUAUCGUAGCAGCUGUUCAUAUCUCGGAGUUCAACGUUACGCUCGAUAGAGAAACGUUGUAUGCUCUCCUAAGUGUAUAAUUGAGCUUGCGUAUGGAACUGAAAAAUUUUUAAAGAGGAUUGUAAAUAUGUACGAGACUGUAAAUAAGAGGGUCAAGAAUUGCCCAUUGAAUUUAUAAAAUAAAAUCCCCUUGUGACUGUAUACCUGGAUGAACCUUUCUGUUGAACCCAGUGGCGUAGGAUUAUUUAUUUCUGGAAUCACAAUAUAUAUUAUAAAUAGAUUAUGGGUAUUAAUAAAAAUUUUUUCAUCAAUUGGAAACAUUUUAGAUAGUAAUAACUCGGAUAAAAUUUUAAUUUACAAUUAGAUUGUAUAUUUUUAUUAAAUUUCAACAUUAAAUAG